GAUGAACGCUGGCGGCGUGCCUAAUACAUGCAAGUCGAGCGAACAGACGAGGAGCUUGCUCCUCUGACGUUAGCGGCGGACGGGUGAGUAACACGUGGAUAACCUACCUAUAAGACUGGGAUAACUUCGGGAAACCGGAGCUAAUACCGGAUAAUAUAUUGAACCGCAUGGUUCAAUAGUGAAAGACGGUUUUGCUGUCACUUAUAGAUGGAUCCGCGCCGCAUUAGCUAGUUGGUAAGGUAACGGCUUACCAAGGCGACGAUGCGUAGCCGACCUGAGAGGGUGAUCGGCCACACUGGAACUGAGACACGGUCCAGACUCCUACGGGAGGCAGCAGUAGGGAAUCUUCCGCAAUGGGCGAAAGCCUGACGGAGCAACGCCGUGUGAGUGAUGAAGGUCUUCGGAUCGUAAAACUCUGUUAUUAGGGAAGAACAAAUGUGUAAGUAACUAUGCACGUCUUGACGGUACCCAAUCAGAAAGCCACGGCUAACUACGUG
rnacentral:rRNA from 1 species